rnacentral:rRNA from 1 species
CCUACGGGAGGCAGCAGUAGGGAAUCUUUCACAAUGGGCGAAAGCCUGAUGGAGCAACGCCGCGUGCAGGAUGAAGGCCUUCGGGUUGUAAACUGCUUUUAUAAGCGAGAAAUAUGAUGGUAACUUAUGAAUAAGGAUCGGCUAACUACGUGCCAGCAGCCGCGGUCAUACGUAGGAUCCGAGCAUUAUCCGGAGUGACUGGGUGUAAAGAGUUGCGUAGGUGGCAUAAUAAGUAGCUAGUGAAAUCUGGUGGCUCAACAAUUCAGACUAUUAGCUAAACUGUUAAGCUCGAGAGCGUUAGAGGUAACUGGAAUUUCUAGUGUAGGAGUGAAAUCCGUAGAUAUUAGAAGGAACACCAAUAGCGUAGGCAGGUUACUGGGACGGUUCUGACACUAAGGCACGAAAGCGUAGGGAGCAAACGGGAUUAGAUACCCUUGUAGUC